rnacentral:rRNA from 1 species
UACGUAGGGUGCAAGCGUUGUCCGGAAUUAUUGGGCGUAAAGAGCUCGUAGGCGGUUUGUCGCGUCUGCUGUGAAAACCCGAGGCUCAACCUCGGGCCUGCAGUGGGUACGGGCAGACUAGAGUGCGGUAGGGGAGAUUGGAAUUCCUGGUGUAGCGGUGGAAUGCGCAGAUAUCAGGAGGAACACCAAUGGCGAAAGCAGCUUUCUGGGACGGUACUGACGCUGAGACGCGAAAGCGUGGGGAGCGAACAGG